rnacentral:rRNA from 1 species
GCUCAGGAUGAACGCUGGCGGCGUGCUUAACACAUGCAAGUCGAGCGAAGCACUUGAGUUUGAUUCUUCGGAUGAAGACUUUUGUGACUGAGCGGCGGACGGGUGAGUAACGCGUGGGUAACCUGCCUCAUACAGGGGGAUAACAGUUAGAAAUGACUGCUAAUACCGCAUAAGACCACGGUACCGCAUGGUACAGUGGUAAAAACUCCGGUGGUAUGAGAUGGACCCGCGUCUGAUUAGGUAGUUGGUGGGGUAACGGCCUACCAAGCCGACGAUCAGUAGCCGACCUGAGAGGGUGACCGGCCACAUUGGGACUGAGACACGGCCCAGACUCCUACGGGAGGCAGCAGUA